AACGAACGCUGGCGGCAUGCCUAACACAUGCAAGUCGAACGAGACCUUCGGGUCUAGUGGCGCACGGGUGCGUAACGCGUGGGAACCUGCCCUUAGGUUCGGAAUAACUCCCCGAAAGGGGUGCUAAUACCGGAUAAUGUCUUCGGACCAAAGAUUUAUCGCCUUUGGAUGGGCCCGCGUUGGAUUAGCUAGUUGGUAGGGUAAAAGCCUACCAAGGCGACGAUCCAUAGCUGGUCUGAGAGGAUGAUCAGCUACACUGGGACUGAGACACGGCCCAGACUCCCACGGGAGGCAGCAGUGGGGAAUAUUGGACAAUGGGCGAAAGCCUGAUCCAGCAAGGCCGCGUGAGUGAUGAAGGCCGUAGGGUUGUAAAGCUCUUUUACCCGGGAUGAUAAUGACAGUACCGGGAGAAUAAGCUCCGGCUAACUCCGUG
rnacentral:rRNA from 1 species